GCCUAGGUGGCUCAGUCGGUUAAGCAUCUGACUCUUGGUUCAGCUCAGGUCAUGUUCUUGCAUUUGUGGGAUCAAGCCCCACAUUGGGCU
rnacentral:tRNA from 1 species